UCCAAUCAAGUUGUAGAAACAUCUCAAGGAUAAUCAAUGGAAACAGGUUGAACCUAAGCUCAAUUUUGAGUGUCAUAACAAAGCGUCUGAAUACUUACAUAAAAGUGAUAUUUCAGUUAUUUAUUUUUAAUUACUUUG